AUAAUGUAAUUCAGAGGAGUGGGAGAAAGUGAGGGGUAAUCGAUUAAGGUUUCGGGUUAGCUUUGUUUUUUGAAUCUGGACCAUCCAUCAAUCAUUUGAGUUUGACAAUAUAGGAGCUGGCUUGGGAGAUUCAAUAAUGCAAUUCAGAUGAAUGGGAGAAAGUGAGGGGUAAUCGAUUAAGGUUUUGGAUUAGCUUUGUUUUCUGAAUCUGGACCAUCCAUCUUGAAUGGAUGGUCCAAAUUCUUUAAUUUUUAUUGUAUGAUGAUGUAUAAACUUAUCAAUUUAAGGCAAGAUUUGAAUUUUUGGCUGAAACUGGUUGGCUUCAGUUGUGAUCGGAUCUAAUCCCUAAUUUCUGGUUUUGGUCAAUUUUGGAGGUUUCGGCCAGUUCUGUUUAAAUUGAUCAAAACUAAUUAUAUAUACUUAUUUUGAAUGUUAUUCUGAUGUUUAUAAAACUAGGGUCAUUACUUUAUUUACUUUAGUCAUUCAAUAUUAAUUUCAAUCAUUCUUCUUUCUUUUCCUUGAGUUAAAAGAGGAGAUGGAUAGUGAUUUUUGGUAUAUAAACAUUAAAAGGCUAAGGUCUUCACAGAGGCUCCUAUUAUAACACACUAUGAUAACUAAUGCAAACAACUAAAUACAAGACACUUCAAAGAUAAAAUAUCUUUUCUGUAUAAAACACACAUAAUAUUAUAUAACUACAUCCAUUUUAUUGAAUAGCCACUUAACCUCAAAAUGUGAAAAUUAAACAUAUUUGUCAAUUCUACUAGAAAAUGACGAAAAAAUGAAUUCACUUUACACUAAAAAGUUUCAAAGUUGCCAGAUAUACUGGAUUUUCAAACAACAAAAGUAUAAUAAGUAAAGGAUACAUAUUUGUUUGUAGUAAAAAAUACCUGUAUAUUUCACUUACGUUCGAUAUUAAUUUGAGGCCAAAAUUUUUGAAACUCCAUAACAAAAGCAACUAUAGAACACAAAACAUUCUUAAAUUUUUAACUAACAACUUUUCUUAACUUCUUCUGUUUCUUCCCUUUUUUAAAUUGAUGGAAUUUUUCUUGAUUUGUUUGACCAAACUUCAAAACUUGGGCCAAAACUGUCAAAUUUGCUGAAACCAAAACUCCACUGACCUGGCCAAUUCCAAAGCCAAAACUGAAUUUUCAAACCUUGAUCUGAGGGAAAAUAGGUUUCGAGCUCGGCUCGAGCUCGGCUCAAGCCCAACUUGAAUUUAGUUUAUGCUACAUGAUCAGGCUCAGUUAGGGCCAGAGGCCAUUUUUCUUCAGAGACAGCCUUGGCCCAACCUGAAGCUAGCCUGACCCUAGUGGAAAUAAUUUGGCCCUAGCCUAUUACCUGCCCUCCAUGUAGAUCAUGAAUGGUGUGGAUCAGCCAUUUGGAUGUCACAUUAUGCAUCUUGUUCCAAGUAUCAAUAUAGGAUUUUUUUAAUUGCAUGGUUUAUCUAAACUCUUCGCUGAUAAUAGCAAGUAGACAUUUUGAGUGCAAUGUCUCCAAGAAUAUCCGAUCUUGAAUCCCUAUAUUUCUUGUUUAACAAGAAUGAUUUAUAGAGGGAGGGAGGGAGGGAGGGAGAGAGAGAGAGAGAGAGAGUUGGUGAAUAUUUUGUUAUAGGUAAAAAGAACACGAUGCUAAAUAAUAACAUAACCAAUAAGGGGAUGAAUUGAAGAGCAAAGAAUGCUGAGGCGGAAAAUUUGAACACAAAAAGGAUGGGCACGUAAUUAGUUUCUUUUCUUCUGAUAAGUAGCCAUCUUAUUCUCUGUUAGAACUAUACCAGUAAUAUUUUCCCUUUUUCCACACAGCCAAGGACUUUGCUUUUUUCUUCUUAGUUUUAGCUUCAUUGCAAUGCCAUUUUGCUGUCAUCAGGACAUCAUCCAAUAGUUUUUGUGGCAACUAUUCAUCCUUCAUGGCAAUUUGGACCAAUAAAAUAUGCAUGCUUCUAUUUAUUUUGUCGAUUUAGUUGACUUUAACUAUCCAGUUUGGAUGGGAUUGGAGGCAACCAAGAUAUACUUCUUCAUGCUUUAUGGAAUUUGCCAUUCGAAUACUGACAUCUCAGGCUGGUUGCCAUGCUUCCUAUGUGGGAGCAAAAGGACUUUUAGAUGGUUGACCAUUUAUAGAAAAUCUAGAAGACUUGAUCUUUCAGUAGUGCUUUUUCUUUUUUCCAAGUAUGUAGUAUGUGUACUUGUGACAAUGAUUUGUAUCCUAGAGUGCACCUCCGUGGCCCUUCCAGAUAGCAUUGGCUGUUCAGGCAUGCAUUUUAUUGUUCAGCAUAUUCAUAUUUGAUGUUGCACAAGAAUGUCGAUAUUGUCAUUUUGCUUAAGCUCAAUAUCACUCCUACACAUCUCUCUGUAACUUGUUCCAACAUAAAUAAACAGCUACAUCUUGCAAAAUUGUAGCGGUCAUGUUUUCUCCUAUGUAAUCUUUUGUUUCUGUCAUUUGCAGGCAAACAGUGGACCAAAUACUAAUGGCUGUCAGGUAAUUCUCAGAGUCUGGCGAAAGAAUUGAAUAGAAUCAUUGUAUGACAUCCUUGAAUGUAUAGGAUAGAGGGGGAAAAAGGUAGAUGAUGUAGAACACAACCUGUAUUUCUACGGAGAGUGAACUUUGUCUUUAUGUAGACAGAUGGUUUAUGCCUUUUUUCAAAAAAGUUAGUUCAGAAAUUAUAUCCAUGAUUGCAGUUUGAGCAAAGGACAUUAAUGGAAUUUAUGUCUGCUUCUCACUUGGUCUAAUCCCAUUUCUGUUUGCCUGCAGUUCUUUAUAACAUGUGCAAAAUGUGACUGGCUAGAUAAUAAACAUGUGGUUUUUGGGGUAAGUUCUUCUAGUCCCAUCUAUUUCAUUAAGUAGAAUAUAGUGAUUCAACAAUGGCCCAUUAAUACACACACAAAUAUAUAUAUAUAUAUAUGUGUGCAUAUACAUAUAUUCACAUACAUACAUACACACGCGCACACACACGUGUGUGUGUGUAUACAUACAUACAUACAUGCAUAUAUGUAUGGAUGUAUAUAUAUGUGUGUGUGUACACGUGUGCGCGCGUGCACUCAUCUAUGAGCCCUGCCAAGGCUAUCAAAAUUUUGGUUUGAUUUUGGAAGAAGGCUCUCCUCAUGGGAAGCCUGUCUCUAGUGGUUCAUGCGGUGGUCAUUACUUAUCAGCUUCAUGAUGUUCCUCUCUGAUGGGCUUGACUUGCCCUAUAUAAAGUUCUAAGUUGUUGUCUUUGUUGCAAAAUUUCAAUUAUGCAUUUCUAUGUUUAAGCACGUUUAAAUUACUUUUUCACUUCUGUUCUUUUCCUUCUCUCUUUCCCUUUUAUCUUAACUGCAGAGGGUGCUGGGAGAAGGCCUUCUGGUUGUCAGGAAGAUUGAAAAUGUUGCUACUGGACCAAACAAUCGGCCAAAGCUCGCAUGCGUUAUAGCUGAAUCUGGUGAGAUGUAAUGAGACAUCGAGCAUAUAGCUUCCAUUGUCUGGAUCUUCUAGGAGGAUUUCUAUAGGCUUAUUGAUAUGAAGAGUUUUUUAGUCUAGAAGGGAAGUAUGUUUAUUUCCAUCUGAAACUAGCAAAAUUUAUGUCUGCAAAGGCACCAAGCCAUGAAUCAACAGAAUGCAAUAGUGCAUUGAAGAGCCUUUGCUCCUGCAACUUGUACCUUUUAAAUGGAAAUAUAAUCAGAUUCUUGGGGUGUUCAAUGCUGGCAAUAUAUUUUUCUUUUAGUUUGUGUUUUUCAAUCGCAUAACUAUUAAUGGCAGGGUAAUCAUAAUACAUACUGCACCAAAUGACUAUUUGAUAAUAACCUCGGUUUGAUUUACCUUCUUCUAGUCUCAUGUGACAGACCAAACUUUCUGCUUGCCAUUCACAAAGAUAAGAAGUAAAAUUCCUGCUCCUGCUCCUCGUUCUCCUCCUUUUUCCUUCCUCUAAUUCCUCAUCUUCUUCUUUUCUCCUGCUUCCUCAUCUUCUUCCUCUUCCUCUUCAUCCUCUUCUUCUGCUUCUUUUUCUUCUCCUCCUUCAUUGUCUUCUUUGCCUUCUCCUUUAUCCUCAUCUUCUUCUUCCUUUCCUUCUUUCUUCUUCUUCUUCAUUUUUCUCCUCCUCCUCCUCUUCUGCUGCUCCUUUGUCAUCAUCUUCUUCUUCUCCAUCAUCUUCCUCCUCUCCUCUUUCUUCUGCUUCCUCCUCCUCCUCUUCUCCUCCUUCCUCCUCCUCCUCGUCCUUUAUCAGGAGCAAAAUAAAGAACAAACAUUGAUAAAAAGAUAAACUUCAUCACUCCCCUGUGCCAUGUCGAAGACUACCAGUCUAGCAUUUUGCUCAAGUUUGGCAACUCUAGAUGAUGAUUGAGACUGCUAAGUUGAGCAUAAUUUUUGGUGAAGAUGCAAGUAGCUAGCUUGAGGAGCAAUUUUGAAUGGUUUACAAGAGUGAAACAGAAUCCAGAUUGCAGGUGCCAGGUGGCAAUCGCCAAGAGGAAGGUAAGGUGGCCAGUGCUGGCAGAAGACGAUGUAUUGAUUUGAUCCCAAUAUGUGGCUGCAAUAUGCCUUCCUACUACGUAAGCUCCAUUAUGAGCUUUUUGUGAACAAGAAGCCGUGUUACGAAUCAUCGAAUUCAUGCAGACCGAGCCAUGAGGCACCAAAUACGUCCGAUGACGCCAAAAAUGUCAAAAAGAGCCGAGCUCCUCCUCCAACGCCAUCGCCCGUUGUCCCAUACCACCCGUGUACCUAAGAUCCAGUCGCACUCGGCGCAACACCAAGGACCCUCUCAAAUUUGUAAAAUCACACUAUCCAAUAUGCAUGCAAAACUAAAUGCGAGCGCUCUGUCAAAGCGUCAGUUUCAUUCCGAAACCAAUGGCGAGUUCUAACGAGCCAACAAAGAAUAUGGUACGAACUAUUACCAAUAGUGGCACUCUAUAUGAGAUUUAAUCCUCUUUCAAAUCUUUGAAAUUGCACCCACAACAUUAAUGCAAAAUUCCUGCUCAUUGCUGAUGCAAAACGGCAAACUAAUGGCGAGUUAUAUAAAGGUAUAUAACAAAGAAUUUAGUAGGAAAUAAAAUAAACCAUGCAUUACUAUUACCGAUAGCAGCACCCUGUAGGUGAUUUUGGGGGAGCUGCUGACAGUAGAGCUUUCUGAAGUAGAGCUUUGAUAAAAAGUUGUUUGCUGUUUGGUAACUACAUUUAUAAAGUGUUGUGACACUUUAACAUAUAUUUGGUAAAUAAACUGAGAAAGUACUUUUAGUAUGACAAAAUGACUAUAAAAAAUAUUGCAUAGUAUUAUCUAUUUUUUUAAAAAAAAGUACAAGCGGUGGGCAAUUUAGUAUUGAGCAUCAAAAGAAAAAAAAAGUUAUGGUAAAUGCAAUUGAUCUUUUAUCAACUGGCAGCAGAAAAGCUGUAAUUGAAUAUCAAUGCACCAACUAGUGCUUAUGGAAAUAGAUAAAAUACAUAGUGACAUGUAGUUAUCCAAAGACCACUCAUCAUACAUGGAGGAAAAGGCGCAGCAAAUUUAUAACGGCACAGACGGAUUAUAGACUAUAGAGUGCCUCAAUAGCACCAAAUGGUGUGGGAUAUACAUCCAUCAACUAGUGGGUCAUAUUUAUCAAUUUCAAAGUUAAUAUGGUAGCUUGUUAGUCAAUAAAUCAAAAAAUUCUUUAUUAAACUAGAAACGAUAUUGAGAGUCAGAAAUAGCCCAAGCCUUACCAAGUAAUUGUUUUAGGAAAUCCCAAGACAAUUAGGCACCCUGAUCCGUGGUCAUACACAACCUCCAGUGUGAACCAUCCACGAACUUAUGGAUACCGUCACCUCGGCUGCCAACAAGAUCUGGGAAUUGAAAGGGAACUUAGACAGUAAACCAUCAGAAUUUCCUAAUUAGGAGGUAUGGCAGCAAUUUCUUACAAGAACAGCGACAACCUCCAAACACAA
rnacentral:lncRNA from 1 species